UACCUGGUUGAUCCUGCCAGUAGUCAUACGCUUGUCUUAAAGAUUAAGCCAUGCAUGUCUAAGUGCAGUGUACUUUUACACACUAGACUGCGGACGGCUCAUUAUAACAGUUAUAGUUUAUUUGAUGGUUUUUUUUCUGUGGAUAACCGUGGUAAUUCUAGAGCUAAUACAUGCCAAUAUUCCUGCCGCUUGCGUGUGGGAAGCAUUUAUUAGAUACCAGAAUCAUCGGCCUUCGGGUCUGUAUGAGGACUCAUAAUAACUGAAGAGAUCGGGCACAGCUCGGCGUAUCAUUCAAGUUUCUGACCUAUCAGUUAGUCGGUAGUGUAUUGGACUACCGAGGCAUUGACGGGUAACGGAGAAUUAGGGUUCGAUUCCGGAGAGGGAGCCUGAGAAACGGCUACCACAUCUAAGGAAGGCAGCAGGCGCGUAGAUUACCCAAUCCUGACUCAGGGAGGUAGUGGCAAGAAAUCACAAUAUUUGGCUCAUACGGGUUAAAUAAUUGAAUUGAGAACAGGCUAAACAUGUUAACGAUAAACCAUUGGAGGGCAAGUCUGGUGCCAGCAGCCGCGGUAAUUCCAGCUCCAAUAGC
rnacentral:rRNA from 1 species